GCCAUUUACACUCCUAACCAGCCAUGUUAUUGGUUCCAAAGAUCGGAGGUUAGGAUUCGGCUAAAGUUGAAUUGGGAAGUGCUCAUUAUUCUUAGCCUCAGAGACCGUUGGGCAUGCAAUCAAAUCUAGACCCAGGAAUCCACAAUUCUAUUUGGGUCUAAUCCAUGAGGCUACCAACUUUUAUGGAAGCAUAUAAACCUCUGCAGGUUCCAUGUUUUGACAUACAUGCUUGCUCACUGGCAAAUUAAUGUCUUACACACUCAAAAAUGGCAAUUGGAGCAACAAAACUAUGCAGAUCUCUCUUUCAUUUUCAUUAUUCUCUCCGCCAAAUUUCUUCAAUUCAUUCAAUCACUUCAUCACAAACACUCGAAGAAUCUAUUAAAGCUGCAGUUGAAUCCAAAACCUACCAGAAAAUUCCUGACCUUCUCAUCUCAGAACAAACUUGCCUAAACCCGAAUCCCUUCUCAUUCCUCUCUACCUUCUCCCAGAACCUCAGAACCCAGGUUGUUGAUGAAAUUUUACAAUCUUUUAUCCCUCUCAGACCACGCUCUCGCUCCCAGAUUGCAUAUGCCUGCCUCCUCUCUUUCACACUCCAAAGCCCCAAUCCCCUCCCUCUUGCUCUUGCAAUUCUCCAACGUACUCUUCGCUCUGGCUGCAUUCCUGUCCCCCAAACCCACCUUCUUCUCUCCUCUGCAUGGCUUAGCCGACGACGACAAUCUCAUUCUGUCUCUAAUAUCCUAUCAGAAAUGCAAUCAAUUGGAUAUUACCCUGAUUGUGGCACCUGCAAUUACCUUAUUUUAUCCCUCUGUGCUAUUGAUCAGUUGGUGGAAGCUGUAAUAGUUUUGAAGAGCAUGGGUCAGGUGGGAUGUAUCCCUGAUUUAGAGGGUUAUGGGUCUGUAAUUGGUGCAAUGUGUGCAAUGGGGAGGACCACCGAUGCGACAGAAUUGAUGAAGGAAAUGGUGGCAAAAAUUGGAUUGACACCAAGGCAAGGAACAGUGUUGAAUCUGGUGGCAGCUUUGCGGGCAAAGAAAGAGAUUUGGAAAGCAGUUGAGAUGAUUGAGUUCUUGGAGGGAGAGGAUUUCAAUGCUGGGUUUGCAAGCUAUGAGUCGGUGCUAGAGGGGUGCUUGGCAUGUCGUGAGUUUGUCUUGGCUGGAAAGGUUGUGAUGGGGAUGACAGCAAGAGGAUUUAUUCCAUAUAUUGGGGCCAGACAGAAGGUGGUUGAGGGGCUGGCUAAUCUUGGUGAGUGGAAACUUGCUUUGGCUGUGAGGCAAAGAUUUGCAGAUUUGAGAUCUUAAGUCCUUAACAUUCCAAAGAGAGAAGGGAAUGAAUACAUACUGCAAUGACUAGGAGACAUUGGUAUCCUGACUUCAUUUAUAAGAUGAUCUAUCCUUAGUUGGCUGUGCAGUAGUCUGAGGUCAUUGAUUACUGGUCCUGCUUUUCCAUAAAUUGGUCAAGAGGGAGUUGGGAUGAAUCUGUUGCCAAAUUCCAUUACAGCUUGACAGACAGUUUUGUGUAUUCUUUUUGUUGUUAUAUACUAUUUGUAACAACAUGAUGAAUUGGUAGGAGAAAAAAGGGUCAGAUUUGCUCAAUUAUACAGAAAUUUGAGUUGAACAUUGCUGGCUUGGGAUCAUGUAGCCAGGAUUUCUCAUUUGCUAGCAUGUCCGCUAUUCUGUCAGGUUCGUCUUUGACCGAUCAGGGAGUUUGUGUAACCAACUAUUCAGCUGGGAAUGGUGGGACUUAAAGCUUGCACCUUGCCACCAUUACAAUCUGUGAAGUCUUCUAUGUUUCAUUUUUGGUUUGUGGUUUAUGUCGUUUCGUCCAUGGCUUUUGCAGCUGCGGGCAAUAGACGUGCAGGUGAGUUGAUUGUUAUGUUAGAUUUUCUACCUGCUUCCUCUAUCAUAGAUAUUAUUUGCUUGGGGACUUUAAAAGGUGUCUACAUGAUUAAGAACAGUCCAUUAUUUAUGUUAAGUCAAAAACUUUUUCAUCCAACUGAUAUGGGGUAUCACAAACACAGUUUGGAAUUCUUGACUUUGGGUCGGGUUGGACUCCUAAAUCUCACCAGGAUGAUGCUCACACAAAUGUCAUGGACAGAUGAACGCACCCAACACGAAAUGAGUUCAAUACAAAAUGCAGGAAGCCAUUCCAUUCAAGUUUGUUAACUAGGACGCUCUGUGUUGAUAAAAAUCUUGUGUUGCGUACAUAUGGCUGUUGGGUCAUUAGCUUUUGUCUCAUCUCCAAUAUAGUAUAUGGUCUUGUCCGAUUCGAUUGAAGGGAAUAAUAGAGCUGUGCCACAUUGCAUAAUAGAUUCAGUACCUUCAACAAUGGAACAGUGCCAUGAUAACUUUUACUAUUA